rnacentral:misc_RNA from 1 species
CAGCAGUAAAGGAAAAAGAAAAGGAGAAGCUAAGUAAAUAAAAAAAAAGGCAGGAAGAGAGGGAGAGGCACCUGCGCGGCCACUUGCGCACCGUCACUCCGCGAGGCAUACACUACGGCGUGCGCGUGUCUGUGCACGGCGCCUGCUCCUUCCCUCCCCUCCGUCACAGAGAUUCUACCGUUUUUUCUUUUCGUGUUUCUCAUCCACUUCCUUUAUCUCGCUUGCUGUUUUUUUCGUCUUCCCGCUUUUUUCAGAGCAACUCCUCCCACUUCGCUUCCGUCCUGCCAACCGACUCGCGCGCCGCUGUGCCGUGCUGUGCUGCCCAUCCCCUCCUGACACCGUUUUUGCGUCGUCUUCGCACGGGAGUGGAGAGCGAAGCGUGCGACGGUGCGCGGUGAAGUUGGUCGAAAGCCGAAGGAAACGAAACAGAAACACAGACUAAGACGCACAAGAGAGUAUUAGGCACACCCGGUAACACGGAACGAAGGCGAGCACGUCUAUACAUAUUGCUCUGCUCUGCUCUUGCGUGAAGGCGCGCACGCGUUCGCACACGCAGCUACAGAAACGCGCGCACUUCAGUUCACCUAACCAAGCGCAGACACGUGCAAACGUAAAAGCGGCAGCCAAUUUCGCAGCAGCGGAGGAGGGAAGGGGGGAGGGAGGGGGCCAGCGCUUGGUGCCGCCAGCAGAGGUUUAUGAGGUGUUCUUGUCCUCCUUCCCCGGCCUCCUGCUCUCUGCCUCCUUUUCUGUCCAUUCGCGGUCUUGGAAAAACGGAGUCUCGCUGGACCCCCCCCCCCGCCCCUGGCAACCACCUCCCUUCCUCCCUCUCUGUUGCGCACCAUAUUUUCUUUCAUUUUCUGAGUACAUAUACGAACGAGAAACACCUGCCAUUUUUUUUUGUUACGUGUCCUCUCUCACGCUUCUACGCUGUGCCGCUUCCCCUCCGGAUUAUCUCUGACCUGCCUGUCUCCGCCUCACGCUCUCUAUCGGCUCCACCGUCUCCUGUUCCCGUCGGUGGGUUUGGGCUACGACUCGCACGGUGCGCAUCACUAACUCCUUCGUGGUCUUGACUUCCGCCUGACGUCUCUCUCUCCCAACCCGUUUUGACCCCUUUUUUGGUGUCAGCGCCGUGCUUGUUCUUCGGUGCGCGUGUGCGUGCGUGCGUGUGCGUGGGGGUGUGGGAGCUGCUGGCCAUCUUUGCCAACGCGGCCCGUAGUGUGUCUCCCCCAGUCACUCUUUUUCGUUUUCGCUCCUCGUCGGUCUGCAGCGUUUUUUUUUUCCUUUUGAGAAGGUCGCGUUACGCUUCACCGCUCUGUGCAGUACUCCUCCGUCAUUCUUUGUUUUACGUAACACACACUGUGUGCGUGUGUGCUUUCUUCCGGUUGGGUUUCUCGCACUAGGAGCUACUUCUGCCGUCUGCACGUUUUUCGGCUGUCCUUCUGUCCUUCCCUCCUUCUCUCUCUCUCGUCGUCGUCUUGCCAGGGUCUUUGACCGCUGCCGCGCAGCGCCGCUAGAGAGAGAGAAAGGUGUGCGUGUGUGUGUGUACCGUUGGGUUAGAAUACGAUUGCGCUCCCCCUCGCGCGCCAAAUCGCGGACGAAGUCGGGGAGCACCGGCAACGUCGUGCGAGUUCGUGGCCGUUUUACGCGGGGCUUUCUCCUACUUGUACCCUUUUGUGUGUGUGUGUGUUUCUUCAACGCCCUAAUCUAUUUUUCUUAUUCGCUACACUCGUGCUUGCCUCGACGGGGGCGUGCCGUGGUGGUGGUGGUGGUAUCUGCGUGUGUGCGUGCUAUGCAGAUCCGCGCUUCCUCCUUCCUAUGUAGGGGCACGUAGCAAAAACAAAAAAGGUGUACAAGCAAACGCUGACAGAGGCACCUCACGCAGACAGAAAGCGCAGCGCAGAGGCAGGCACGUUUCUCGAUCGUGGCGCCAUGCCGCCGAGGCGCUGCCCAAACCGCCUCCUGGUGCUGUGCGCCUCCAUCAAUGAUGUCACAGCAUGGCCGUUUUGGAAGUUCUUGCAGAUGAAGAAGAUUCGCGGCGUGACGGACAUGGCGCUGCUCGCCUUCAACAGCGACGGCGGCAGCUUUGAGGCUCGCAUCGAUGGCGACAGGUACCAGCUCAAGAACUACGCCAAGGUGCGCGGCUACCAGCACGACAUGUUUGAGAGCUUCGUGCAUCGCUGGCACGAUCCGGGCCGAAGCUAUUUCGUGUAUGGCGGGCAUGGUAUGGGCGACUACGUGGAGCUAGAGCAGAACCGUGUUUCGCUGCAGGCGCACGAGCUCGCCGACGUCUUCGGCACGCGUGUCUUCGAAGCCGUGCUCUUUGACGCCUGCUUCAUGGCGAACCUUGACUGCGCCUAUCAUCUGCGCCACAACACGCGGUACAUCGGUGCCUGUGAGGGGUACAUGUGGGAGCCUGACACGGCCCUCGACUACCAUGUCUUCAACACCCACAACGCGAGCGCCAUGAGCCGCUUCAAAGACCCGCUGCACAUCCUCCGCGUUAUUCAGGCGGACUACUGCAGCAAGGCGCCGCGUGGCGACUUCACCAUCAUCGACACCACGCACAUUGCGGCGCUGCGGCAGUACGUGCAGGAGCAUGUCAUGCAGCGCGUUUAUGACCGGGCGACCUUCUACAGCCUACCGCAGCGAGAGCGACUGCAGCAAAUCGCCGAGGCGUCGAUUCAGGCGUCCAUAUCCCAGUUUGGCCACCCCGGCGGUGACACCAACGUGAUGAAUGGCGUUGGCAGUGGUACUGGCCGCCCGCGCACCGCCCCAUCGUCACCCGAGGUGCUUGCGCUUUCCGCCGCCGGUAGACCGACGCGGCGGCAGCGAAUGCUGCAGGCGAUUCAGUUUGAGCACUCGCUGUACCCGUCGGAGGUAGACGACAAACAGCUGCUCGACCUCAAGUCGUAUCUCACGGACAUGCUGCGGGAGGAGCAGCAGCUAAAGGCGUGGGAGGCAGCGGCGCUGGGGCCGCAGCGCCGCAUUGCGGCUGGCCGCCGCCGCUUGCGAAGUGAUGGACUGCAGCAUGGUGGCAGCUCCGGAAUCGCCGCCCCCUCCUCCGCCUCGUCCUCCUUCGCCGUCUGGAAGGCGCCGCCGUCGCGGGCGCUGUUUGUUGAUCGGCACGGACGGCUGCCUGCUGCCAGCUCUACAGGGUGCUCGCCGUCCAUCAACGGUGGCCCAGCCGCAGCAAACGACAAGCAAAAAGAGGCGACGGCGCUCUCUCCUCCAGCCCUUGCGGCCACUCUAACGAUGGCAACAGCGCCGCCUCCGUCUCUCUCCACCUCUUACAAGGGCAGCGCGCAGGAGGGGCUAGAUCUUUUUCACCAGGUUGUCGUGAGCCACAUCCCACCCAAGGCCGCUUCCAUCUACGCAACCCAGCUCGGGGGGCUAUCCUUAACGGUGCACGAGUACAGUGCCAUGUCGCGGCCGGCAGAGCCGUGGUCGGUGGGCUCGAAGAGGUUGCUGAAGCGCCGGGCAAAGCAAUUCCUGAAGAACGGCGAACUCUCGGAGGUGGUGAUGGAGUCCCCGAAGGCGAGCCCAUCCGUCACCAGCGCUGCCCUCGCGGCAACCGUGAACAAGGCGACAGCGACGGCCGCGGCAGUGAAGGGUGCUUCUGCAGGAAAACCCCAGCAUGCGACUUCCGCCGCCGCGCUGCCGCUAUCACCCAGAACACGAAUGCUCUUCCCGGACCAGCGUCUGAGUUUCACGAGCAGCAGUAAUGGCACAGACAGCGACAGCUCCUUGCCGCUCAGCUUGUCCGCACCGCUUUCCACCUCAUCCACGGAUGCAUGCAACAGCAGCAUGAAAACAGUAAUUCUCGACCCGCCACAGCGGGCUGCCUCCUGUACGUCGUUACCCAACUCCAAACAACGUACAAGCGCCUGCUGAGGGCAAGAGAGCGCUAUGGUUAGGAGCGUCGCUGGAGAGUGUGCCCCCGGGUGCCAGGGAGGAGGGCACACCUCUCAAGGCAUGGCAUCACAGCGCCCAGCACACCCCCUCUCUGAGGGAGAGCACAACAGCCCCUCCCCUCUACCCCUGCCAAUACCCACCUACCUCUAGUACUGGCAGGGCCAGGUGCCUACGGUGCGAGGAGGUCACAGAUAUUUAUUGCUGCUGAUGCCGGCGGCCAGGUCCUGGAUGGCGUGGCGCCGGAGCGACCUGCUGCAGUGCACACGUCUGACCCAUCCACAUGAUGGGCAGCGUGUCCGCGCGACUCGAGCGUAUCCGACCCCCGGCCCUCGCACUGCCUACUGGUGGGUGGGGAGCCUGAGCCACCGCAAGGGAUGCCGCACGUGGCGACCGGUACGACGGUAGCUGCUGCGAGGCGCCCCGUGGGGCGGCGGGGGGUGGCCCGUGCUCGAGGCGGAAGCCGUGCUUGGAUGACUGAGUCGGCAUAUUGCUGUAACGCGUGUCUAGGGCUGCUUCGCACGACGCGAUGGGGUGGGGCCCAUGACCGGCCGCGCAGUGCCGGAGUGGCGGUGGCGGGGGGCAUCGAGCUCGCGCGCCCUACGGCGGCGAAACGGACACGUUAAAGCGAACAAAAAAGGAAAAGUUGAGGCUCUGCCUAUGCGCGUUUGCGUGCUCAGGCAACUAUGCUUUCCCUCCUCAUCCGCCUCACGCCAUCCGUGAGCCUGUGGGCAUGUGCUGGUGUGGGCGUAGAGCAGCAGUGCGUUGUGCUUGUACCGGCGUUUGUGUGUGGCUCGCCCGCUGUGCUUGUGUACGUCUCUCUCGUCUGGCUGUACGUGCGUCUCAUCUUCUAAUUACUUUGUAUCCGUGUCGGCGCCACCGGCACGGGCUUCCAUGCAUCUGUCGCACCUGACUCUCUUUUCAUUGUACUACACGAUCCUCCGCAUAAGGCUCGCAGGCAUGGCGUGGGGGCCCUUGUACAUGUUCCGUGACCAACGAACCAAUCAACCCCCUUCGUCUUGUGCACCUCACGGAUUUCUCUUCUACUUCUCCUGGCCCUCCCCUCGUGACGGCGCAAGCGCUGGUGUCUUGUGUUGAGUGCUUCGCCUCUGGAAAAUGCUAUGGAUGCUCUUCAGUGCGCUCGUGGUUUGGCCACCCCACCCCUAGCGGUAUUGCCACAUCUUGCUUGAGGCCCCUGACCCUUCCUUCUGCCCCUGCUCCAACCCAUCAUUGGAAACGGCGUGUGUGUGUGUUUGCAUGGUCGACUGAGGCGUUACGUUGUUUUUCUUCUUGCCGUCCCCCUCUUGGCCGCUGACUUCCAACGGUUGCGUACGCUCACACUCGACACCCCGUACACAGACGCGCAUGUACACGGCUUCCGUAUGCCUAGUAGGGAUAUGGAACGAAUAGGGAAGCCGAUGGCGGUGCGUUGCCAGGCCACGACGUUGCGGUGGGAUAUUGCUGUCGCUGCGGCACUGUCGCUGCCAUUGCUGAGGGGGAGGGCGAGGUCCGACAAGAAGGGAGAAGUAGAAAGAAAGCAGAAGGUGACCUCCUGGGAGUAACUCUUAG